GACGAACGCUGGCGGCGUGCCUAAUACAUGCAAGUUGAGCGAUGAAGAUUGGUGCUUGCACCAAUUUGAAGAGCAGCGAACGGGUGAGUAACGCGUGGGGAAUCUGCCUUUGAGCGGGGGACAACAUUUGGAAACGAAUGCUAAUACCGCAUAACAACUUUAAACAUAAGUUUUAAGUUUGAAAGAUGCAAUUGCAUCACUCAAAGAUGAUCCCGCGUUGUAUUAGCUAGUUGGUGAGGUAAAGGCUCACCAAGGCGAUGAUACAUAGCCGACCUGAGAGGGUGAUCGGCCACAUUGGGACUGAGACACGGCCCAAACUCCUACGGGAGGCAGCAGUAGGGAAUCUUCGGCAAUGGACGAAAGUCUGACCGAGCAACGCCGCGUGAGUGAAGGAGGUUUUCGGAUCGUAAAACUCUGUUGGUAGAGAAGAACGUUGGUGAGAGUGGAAAGCUCAUCAAGUGACGGUAACUACCCAGAAAGGGACGGCUAACUACGUG
rnacentral:rRNA from 1 species